AUUGAACGCUGGCGGCAUGCCUUACACAUGCAAGUCGAACGGUAACGGGCCUUCGGGUGCCGACGAGUGGCGAACGGGUGAGUAAUACAUCGGAACGUGCCCGAUCGUGGGGGAUAACGAGGCGAAAGCUUUGCUAAUACCGCAUACGAUCUACGGAUGAAAGCAGGGGACCGCAAGGCCUUGCGCGGACGGAGCGGCCGAUGGCAGAUUAGGUAGUUGGUGGGAUAAAAGCUUACCAAGCCGACGAUCUGUAGCUGGUCUGAGAGGAUGAUCAGCCACACUGGGACUGAGACACGGCCCUGACUCCUACGGGAGGCAGCAGUGGGGAAUUUUGGACAAUGGGCGCAAGCCUGAUCCAGCCAUGCCGCGUGCAGGAUGAAGGCCUUCGGGUUGUAAACUGCUUUUGUACGGAACGAAAAGCCUUCUUUUAAUACAGGAGGGUCAUGACGGUACCGUAAGAAUAAGCACCGGCUAACUACGUG
rnacentral:rRNA from 1 species